GGAGACGUAGCUCAGCUGGUUAGAGCGCUUCCCUGUCACGGAAGUGGUCGAGGGUUCAAGUCCCUUCGUCUCCG
rnacentral:tRNA from 1 species